rnacentral:lncRNA from 1 species
AAAAUAAUUCCAAACCAAUCAGGAGUAUAAGUUUAAUUAUUGUUAGGCUGGGUUUCAUAAUAGUUACAGAAAUGAAAAUGUGUGGUCUAGUGUCUCCUCAGAGUGCAGGAUAAUGGUUGCUAGGCAGCCUCCUGUUUACAGAGAAAAGAAUUUCUUUAUCUGCAGAUGUCAACAGUGCCUCAUCCUCUUUAUUUCCACCAGAAUUUAUAUGGUGGGCCAGGGCUUGGUGAGCGGUGGUAAUUUCCUGUGCAGUAUAUACUGCCCUACUUGUGAGGAGCAUAUUGCUGUUCAAGGGUCAACAUGCAAACACAUGGGGGCAUUACUGAAACCAAUGGAUGUUACCUGGAGAAGCCAGCCUGAAAAUAUCUGGUGCAGUGGCGUUAUGAGGAGUCUUUCAUGGAGCAUGGACUACUCAUCAUCUGUGAAGCCCAGGGCAAGUUAAUUGGUGGUAACUGAUUGGAAGAUUGAAAUCAAGGAAAGAGAAGAGUCAUGGGAGAAGAAGAUGAAGGAAGAGCCAAAAAUUGGCAAGGUACCAGGGCUACAUGUUCAAGAGAGAUGGAAGUACCCUUUACCGAGGAUACUGAAUCUAGGAACAGACCUAAGUUGGGAGGAUGGGUAAUAACACUUUUAUUUUAGAGAUGUUGAAUUAGAGGCUUGAUGUGGCAUCCGUGGGACGAUAUCUGCAGGUCUUCUGAAUUUCAUCUUUGGAAGUCUGGAGAAAUAUCAGGGGGAAAGAUACAGAUGGGGGACUAACCGAGUAGUUAAUACUUUGGUCAUAAUGGAAAAUGCUUUUGUUCUAUGAGAAUGCAGUGGGAAAAAGCUAAGCACUAAGAACUUAAGUGGUGGUUAAACAAGGAAAACCAGAAAAGAAAACUAAGAAGGGUCAAGUGAAGAGAUUAAAAAAAGAGACUUCAGAUUUUUCAGAGACCAAGCAAUAGAAGGAUAUAAUAAGGAGACAUUAGACAAAAUUGUGAAAUAACUCAAGUGAUUGCAGUAAAAUCAAGACAGGUAAGGCAAGAUCCUAUUGGUUCAAUAAUUAGAAAGUCUUAUGAAAUUUGAGAGAUCAAGUCUAUUGGUGGAAUUAGACUGUAGAUGAGUAAGGAAGAAGUAGGAACAUUUACUGCUGAAAAAUUAAAGUAUUUUAUGACCAAGUAAUUAAAAAAACAAAACAAAACAGUACCCAGCACGUUCCCCUAAUCACCAUGUGGUUAACGCUAUAAUAGGUAUAACCGUGAAUUUCCCCACUGUUAAUUGCAUGCAAAAAGAGUAAAGACAAUACUAAGACUGUACUUAGUUUCCCAGACCAUCUGUGCCAUCCAGACUUAGUUCUAUGUCUAAGACUAUCAGUAAAAUUAUAUGUCUAUCUACACUUGGCUGAGUCAAAUGAAAUUACACAUUUAUGGAUUAUCAUAAGCAAAAAUAAGAAGAGUACACACAUUUAGUUGUCUGUGCUAUGUGUGGCAUUUAAAAAGUACCUUAAUACAAUCCCAUUUCAAGAAAUUUUGAAUGGAAUGCCAAGGAAUUCUGUCUUUGAAUAUCCAAAAACAUAUUUAUCUUGUCAUCAGCCUUGAUCAAUAUUUUGACUUAGCAUAGAAAUCUAACCUCAAAAUUGUUUCCCCAAGAAUAGCAAAGGCAGGGGCUGGCCCCGUGGCCGAGUGGUUAAGUUCGUGCGCUCCUCUACAGGCGGCCCAGUGUUUCGCUGGUUUGAAUCCUGGGCGCGGACAUGGCACUGCUCAUCAAACCACGCUGAGGCAGCAUCCCACAUGCCACAACUAGAAGGACCCACAAGGAAGAAUAUACAGCUAUGUACCGGGGUGCUUUGGGGAGAAAAAGGAAAAAAAUAAAAUCUUUAAAAAAAAAAGAAGAGUGAAGGCA